UACAGAGGAGCCAAGCGUUGUCCGGAUUGACUGGGCGUAAAGCGCACGCAGGCGGGUGCGCGCGUGGGGUGUGAAAUCUGGCCGCUUAACGGCCAGGCGCCAUCCCAUACGGCGCGUCUGGAGUGAUGCAGAGGUCGAUGGAAUUGCCGGUGUAGUGGUGAAAUGCGUAGAGAUCGGCAGGAACACCCAGGGGGAAACCAGUCGACUGGGCAUCUACUGACGCUGAGGUGCGAGAGCGUGGGGGAGCGAACCGGG
rnacentral:rRNA from 1 species